rnacentral:rRNA from 1 species
GAUGAACGCUGGCGGCGUGCCUAACACAUGCAAGUCGAGCGAUCUUCUUCGGAAGAGAGCGGCGGACGGGUGAGUAACGCGUGGGUAACCUGCCCUGUACACACGGAUAACAUACCGAAAGGUAUGCUAAUACGAGAUAAUAUACUUUUAUCGCAUGGUAGAAGUAUCAAAGCUCCGGCGGUACAGGAUGGACCCGCGUCUGAUUAGCUAGUUGGUAAGGUAACGGCUUACCAAGGCGACGAUCAGUAGCCGACCUGAGAGGGUGAUCGGCCACAUUGGAACUGAGACACGGUCCAAACUCCUACGGGAGGCAGCAGUGGGGAAUAUUGCACAAUGGGCGAAAGCCUGAUGCAGCAACGCCGCGUGAGCGAUAAAGGCCUUCGGGCCGUAAAGCUCUGUCCUCAAGGAAGAUAAUGACGGUACUUGAGGAGGAAGCCCCGGCUAACUACGUGCCAGCAGCCGCAGUAA